rnacentral:other from 1 species
UAAUAUCUGUGGUGUGCGAGUUGUUCUACACUGUGUUGACCGAACAUUUAGUGUUACUUUGGGAUCGAACUAGCUCAUUUGGAAAACAAGCCUUUUCACUUGGUAGUUUGAAGAAUUGACAGUUGAGCCCACCUGCUUACUCGCGGGAUCAACGCUACAGGACGAUUAACGGCAUCGACGGAUAUUAU